ensembl:lncRNA
AGCUCGGGAGAAUUUGAGAUAGAAGCUAAAUAUGGUACAUUUGGACACUAUUUUCCUAAGCCUAGAAUGACUGGAAGACUUUAACAAGCAAAUACACUGUGGGUAUGUGGGUACAGUCUUGACUAAUACAGGAAUCUGUUUGAUCAUCCAUACCAUAACUAUAAUAUGCAUCUGUAAAAUACAUACUUCAGCUAGUGUUGUAAACUUAAUGAGUACUUCUAAAACAUUCUGCAACCCUAAGAAGGAGCGCCUGAUGCCAGAAAGAAAUGAAGGGGAGGAUCUUGUUCCUAAAAGGCACACGAAAAGUCAAUGAACAGACCUUGGGCAAAGAGAAGGGUUCUGCAUAACGUCAUAAACAACUCAGAUGCCCAAAGGAAAGAAGGAACUAGCUGGACAUUUGCUAGUCUCAUAGAGACUACCCAAAAGGUGGAAUACUUGAUGCCUUAAAUCAGGAGCAUCUGUGGCAGUAUAUUUCCAAGACUCAUACUUGUUCACAUGUCCAGUUGUGAACUCAGAUAUUCUUUUCAACCCAGGGUCCUUCUUCCUUCCUACUGCAAAAGAAUCAAAUUGAUUUGCCUUAAAAGAAGGUAUGAGGGAAAAUUUUCUGGUACUUCUCAAGGAAAAGUAUGUGUCUGAGUUUCUCUCCUUUGGACAAAAGAAUUGUUGACACACCACAAAAUGAAGAUCUUCUCAAUCAGUUCAUCCUCAUAAAUAAGCAGAUUAUGAGCAGUAAACUGUGUAUGGAGCUGAAUAUCAACUUCAUUGCAUUGGAAUGAAUGGUGGCAACAUUGGAAUAUCAUAUAGUGGGUCCCACGAAUGCUCACACAGGAACAGAAAGAACGCCAUAUACAAGUUUGUCAGGACCUAUUGAAUCAAUGAGGCUGAAGGUGACAGUUUCCUGGAUCGCAGCAUUACCAGUGAUGGGACAUGUUAUUGCAAGCCAAAAUCAAGAUGGCAGUCCAUGGGAUGGCAACGCAUGAAUUCUGCAUCAAAUAAAAAAUUCAGGAUGGACACCUUGGUGGGUAAAGUGACUUGCAUUGUCUUUUGAGAUAAGAAAAGUUUGGUCCUUCUGGAUUUCCUGGAGCCUAGACAAGACAUCAACUUGGACCACUACAGCUCCUACUAAGCUGAAGGCUCAAACUUCCAGAGUCAGGCUAAAAAAGACAAUCUUUCUCUUGCAAUCAAUAGUGCUAGGUCCUAUACCAGUUUGUGGGCCAUGAAGCACACUGCCAAUCUUGGCUGGACUAUCGUACCACACUUACCAUAUAGUCCAGAUUUGGUGCCUUCUGGCUUCCAUCUGGCCAGUGAAAGAUGGACUGUGUGGGCGAUAUUUUCAUAGCAACAAUGCCAUCAUAGCAGUUGUGAAACAAUGGAUCAUCUCCACUGAUGCAGAUUUUUAUGAGCAGGCCAUGCAGGCUCUCAUUCAUCACUGGUGAAAAUACAUAGCUAAAGGUGAUGACUAUGUUGAAAAAUAAUGUUUUGUAGCUAAGAAUUUGCUCUAUUAAACAGUGUUAUUGUGCUCUUUGUACCUCCUGUAGUUUCCAUGGAAGUAUAUAGGAGGUAUUGAUUUUGGAGUGACCUGCAUAAUUUCAGGCCUACGUUUCAUGAUGAAUGCCUUUUAUUUCUGAGAAAAAAAAUUUAAAAAGUAAAAUUAAAAAAAAAAAACACAUUGAACAAGAAAGUAAGAUGCAUGUAUCAUUCACUGAGUCCAACAGAAAGAACUUAGUUGCCUAAUAAUGCACAUCAUGAAACGCAGAGAGUUUUUAAAAUGUGUCAUUUGUGUUAUCUUCGUCUGAAAAUAAUCAUGUUACUUUAUAAUUUAUUUCCAUUUUCUUUAUUUUUUUUUAAA